rnacentral:rRNA from 1 species
CACGUAGGGUGCGAGCGUUGUCCGGAAUUAUUGGGCGUAAAAGAGCUCGUAGGCGGUUUGUCACGUCUGCUGUGAAAACUGGAGGCUCAACCUCCAGCCUGCAGUGGGUACGGGCAGACUAGAGUGCGGUAGGGAGAUUGGAAUUCCUGGUGUAGCGGUGGAAUGCGCAGAUAUCAGGAGGAACACCGAUGGCGAAGGCAGAUCUCUGGGCCGUAACUGACCGCUGAGGAGCGAAAGCAUGGGAGCGAACAGG